GAUGAACGCUGGCGGCGUGCCUAAUACAUGCAAGUCGAGCGAACAGACGAGGAGCUUGCCCCUCUGACGUUAGCGGCGGACGGGUGAGUAACACGUGGAUAACCUACCUAUAAGACUGGGAUAACUUCGGGAAACCGGAGCUAAUACCGGAUAAUAUAUUGAACCGCAUGGUUCAAUAGUGAAAGACGGUUUUGCUGUCACUUAUAGAUGGAUCCGCGCCGCAUUAGCUAGUUGGUAAGGUAACGGCUUACCAAGGCAACGAUGCGUAGCCGACCUGAGAGGGUGAUCGGCCACACUGGAACUGAGACACGGUCCAGACUCCUACGGGAGGCAGCAGUAGGGAAUCUUCCGCAAUGGGCGAAAGCCUGUCGGAGCAACGCCGCGUGAGUGAUGAAGGUCUUCGGAUCGUAAAACUCUGUUAUUAGGGAAGAACAAAUGUGUAAGUAACUAUGCACGUCUUGACGGUACCUAAUCAGAAAGCCACGGCUAACUACGUG
rnacentral:rRNA from 1 species